rnacentral:lncRNA from 1 species
UCAGGGGUGUCAGGACAGGGCUGGGACAGGGGUGUGACCCCCACACCACCCCACACUCGGUGUUUGCAGCGCCAGGACAAGGCUGCCUGGAUGGCAGCAAGGAUCCCCUGCAGCUCCUGCUGGCUGGGAAGGAGCCCCAGAGCUCCCUGACUGUUGAUGGGGUUUUCCACAUGGAUGCAGGACAGGAGAAGGUUCUGGAGCUGGCCAGGCCCCAGCUGGCCCUGGUUCCCCUUGGCUACAGCGUGUCCCUGCUGCUGUGGGACCCCCGUGGCCCUGGGACACAGCUGCCCUUCCAGAGUGUCAUCUGGCAGGUGAGGGCACAGGGCACAGCUGGCAGGACAGGGGACAGCACAGCUGUGCAUUGCUGGGCUCCUGGGUCACCCAGCAGAGCCCAAUCCCACCGGGACAGGGCUGGGAUCCAGCCAUGGGUCUGGGAACAGCAGCUCCCAGCUUGUCCACAGGUGAUCGACACCGUCUUCCAGGAGCUGGAGGCCUUGGGGGACGACACUCAGAGCCUGCAGAUGGUCAGCCUGGUGCAGGUAGGGCAGGAGCACGGCAGGAGGGCCUGGCAUGAGGGCCCCAUUCUCUCUGUGCCACUGCCCAGCCCCUGCUGUGCCAUGAGCACAGCUUGCCCUGUGCUGGCAUGCAGUGCCCUCAUCCAGAGGGUGACCAGGGACUGGGGACCUUUGGCUCCCAGGUGUUCUCACCUCUUUCCAGGACUGCCCACAGAGCACCUCCUGGGCUCCAGCAGCAUGGUGGCACCAGGAUCACCCUCUAACCCCUUCCUGCUCCCAUCCCAACUGAGCUCCCCGGGCCAGUCACUGCUCCAGUGUGGCCUUGAGUGGCACAGCAGUGCUGCCAGCUCCUGGCCCUGGGCUGGCUCCUGCCCUUUGGCUCUGGGAUGCUGCCAGGGCCUGAUAAGCUCCACAGAGGGCUCGAGCGUUCCCAGGGCUCUGCCCUUCCCUGGUGCCAGGGCUGGGCAAGCUGGGAGUUACCCCAAAAUGAGCUUUCUCAACCCUCACGUGUGCAUGGCCACAAGCACUCCGGGCCCCUGGUGAGUGUGGGGUGCCAGCAGCCCCUUUUCCUGCCCCUGCCUGAUGCAGCCCCCUCAUUCCAGGUCAGCAGCCAGGACAAAGCCUGGGACCUGCUCCAUCCUGACGGCCGAGCCCUGC